AAAGAAAGUAAGCAAGGGCGCAUGGCGGAUGCCUUGGCUCUCGGAGGCGAUGAAGGACGUGAUAAGCUGCGAUAAGCUUCGGGUAGGUGCAAAUAACCUUUGAUCCGAAGAUUUCCGAAUGGGACAACCCGUCAUUCUGAAGGAAUGACAUCUUGCAUAGCAAGAGGCUAACGCAGGGAACUGAAACAUCUUAGUACCUGCAGGAAAAGAAAAUAAUAAUGAUUCCCCUAGUAGUGGCGAGCGAACGGGGAUUAGCCCAAACCAAUGUUGUUACGGCAAUAUUGGGGUUGUAGGACCACGAUGUCGCAAGAAAUUUAGUGAGAAGAAUUCUUUGGAAAAUGAAACCAUAGACGGUGAUAGUCCGGUAUUCGAAGCUAAACGAAGCGUAGUGGUAUCCUGAGUAGCGCGGGACACGAGGAAUCUUGCGUGAAUCUGCCGGGACCAUCCGGUAAGGCUAAAUACUCCCGAGAGACCGAUAGCGAACCAGUACUGUGAAGGAAAGGUGAAAAGCACUUCGAAUAGAAGAGUGAAAUAGUCCCUGAAACCGUGCGCCUACAAGCGGUCGGAGCAGCGUAAGUUGUGACGGCGUGCCUUUUGCAUAAUGAACCUACGAGUUACUUUUUCCGGCAAGGUUAAGCAUUUCAAAAUGUGUAGCCGAAGCGAAAGCGAGUCUGAACAGGGCGAUUAGUCGGAAGGAGUAGACGCGAAACCAAGUGAUCUACCCUUGGUCAGGUUGAAGGUUAGGUAACACUAACUGGAGGACCGAACCGAUAAGCGUUGAAAAGCUUCCGGAUGAACUGAGGGUGGGGGUGAAAGGCUAAUCAAACUUGGAGAUAGCUCGUACUCCCCGAAAUGCAUUUAGGUGCAGCCUUGGGAAUUACUACUGUGAGGUAGAGCGACUGAUAAGAUGCGAGGGCUUCACCGCCUAUCAAGUCUUGAUAAACUCCGAAUGCGCAGUAGUUCGAUCCCAGGAGUGAGGGCAUGGGUGCUAAGGUCCAUGUCCUAAAGGAGAAGAAUCCGGACCAUCAGCUAAGGUCCCGAAAUAAUUGCUAAGUUGAACUAACGAAGUCAGAUUGCUAAGACAGCUAGGAUGUUGGCUUGGAAGCAGCCAUUCAUUUAAAGAGUGCGUAACAGCUCACUAGUCGAGGAGUUUGGCGUGGAUAAUAAUCGGGCAUCAAGCAAUUUACCGAAGCUAUGGGAUGUUAACUAAACACUAACAUCGGUAGGGGAGCAUUCCACUCUGCGUCGAAGGUGAAGCGUGAGCUUUGCUGGAGCGUGUGGAAAAGCAAAUGUAGGUAUAAGUAACGAUAAAGGGGGUGAGAAACCCCCUCGCCGAAAGACUAAGGUUUCCUGAUCAACGCUAAUCGGAUCAGGGUUAGUCGGGUCCUAAGGCUCAGCCGAACGGUGAGGCCGAUGGCAGAACAGGUUAAUAUUCCUGUACUACCUUAAGGAGUGACGUGGAGACGGAGCAGUGAUAGCGCCGCGGACUGACGGAAUAGUCCGUUGAAGGGUGUAGAUGUUGAUCUUUGCAGGCAAAUCCACAAAGAGAGUCGAACCUGAUAGUAUGGAACGUUCUUCGGAACAAUCCAAUAGUGCGUGUAAACAUACUCCCAAGAAAAUCCGCUAAACUUAAUCUUUAAGGUACCCGUACCGCAAACGGACACACGUAGUCGGGUUGAAUAUACUAAGGCGCUUGAGUGAUUCACGGUUAAGGAACUAGGCAAAUUGACCCUGUAACUUCGGGAUAAAGGGUCCCAACGAGAGUUGGGCGCAGAGAAUAGGUCCAGGCAACUGUUUAACAAAAACACAGGGCUGUGCCAAAUUGAAAGAUUACGUAUACAGCCUGACACCUGCCCGGUGCUGGAAGGUUAAGAGGAGAUGUCAUCGCAAGAGAAGCAUUGAAUUGAAGCCCCAGUAAACGGCGGCCGUAACUAUAACGGUCCUAAGGUAGCGAAAUUCCUUGUCGGGUAAGUUCCGACCUGCACGAAUGG
rnacentral:rRNA from 1 species